GAUGAAGAACGUAGCGAAAUGCGAUAAGUAAUGUGAAUUGCAGAAUUCAGUGAAUCAUCGAAUCUUUGAACGCACAUUGCGCCCCUUGGUAUUCCGAGGGGCAUGCCUGUUCGAGCGUCAUUAUAACCCCUCAAGCUCAGCUUGGUGUUGGGGCCUGCUGCACUGGCAGCCCUUAAAAUCAGUGGCGGCGCCAUCUGGCUCUAAGCGUAGUAAUUCUUCUCACUAUGGAGUCCUGGUGGAUGCUUGCCAUCAACCCCCAAUUUUUCUAUGGUUGACCUCGGAUCAGGUAGGGAUACCCGCUGAACUUAAGCAUAUCAAUAAGCGGAGGA
rnacentral:misc_RNA from 1 species